CCCGCGGCCUAUCAGCUUGUUGGUGGGGUAAUGGCCUACCAAGGCGACGACGGGUAGCCGGCCUGAGAGGGCGACCGGCCACACUGGGACUGAGACACGGCCCAGACUCCUACGGGAGGCAGCAGUGGGGAAUAUUGCACAAUGGGCGCAAGCCUGAUGCAGCGACGCCGCGUGAGGGAUGACGGCCUUCGGGUUGUAAACCUCUUUCAGCAGGGACGAAGCGUGAGUGACGGUACCUGCAGAAGAAGCACCGGCCAACUACGUGCCAGCAGCCGCGGUAAUACGUAGGGUGCAAGCGUUGUCCGGAAUUACUGGGCGUAAAGAGCUCGUAGGCGGUUUGUCGCGUCGUCUGUGAAAACCAGCAGCUCAACUGUUGGCUUGCAGGCGAUACGGGCAGACUUGAGUAUUUCAGGGGAGACUGGAAUUCCUGGUGUAGCGGUGAAAUGCGCAGAUAUCAGGAGGAACACCGGUGGCGAAGGCGGGUCUCUGGGAAAUAACUGACGCUGAGGAGCGAAAGCGUGGGUAGCGAACAGGAUUAGAUACCCUGGUAGUCCACGCCGUAAACGGUGGGCGCUAGGUGUGGGUUUCCUUCCACGGGAUCCGUGCCGUAGCUAACGCA
rnacentral:rRNA from 1 species